AUGAAUUUUUUCUCUAUCCCUUACUUACAUUCCUACAGUAACUUAGAAAAGCUAAGUCAAACCUUUGCUUCUUCUAGGUCCUGUAGAUAUUUUCUAUUAGAUCUGUCAACAUCAAAUUCAUUCCUUAAUUUGGCAACAGAUAUCAUGAAUGUGACUCCUGCCUUCUUUUCCUCAGUUGAUGCUCCAUCCACUUACCUUCACCAUGAAGAGCCUAAAUUUCCCAGGCCAUCUCUGCUGGCUGUGCUGCACUAUACCUAUCAAGAUUGGAUCAGUUUGUGAUUCUAUGCAGUUUAUCAAAUGAAAUCAUCAUCUGAAAAAGGGCACAGAGAACAUCCAAAUUUCCUUUGGAGAUGUCAUAAGAUUAUUUGAGACCUAUAGAAGAAGCAAAUGCUGUCAUCAUAUGCCUCAGUUACCUCUUCCUUCCAAUCCUGCAAGCCACUUUUCCUAUAGGCUCAUCCCCUGAGUCUCCAUUUGGAAGAAGGACCCUGACCAUUCCUCCUUAUCCAGACUUUACCCCCACCACCUUUUCAAUUGUUGUCUUCUCACAUUGAAAUAUAAUGUCUGUCUAAAUAAAUCUGCAACAAUGAAAGCCUGAGG
rnacentral:lncRNA from 1 species